rnacentral:misc_RNA from 1 species
GUGAAUCAUCGAAUUUUUGAACGCAAAUUGCGCUUCCUAGCAUCCCGGGAAGUAUGCCUGUUUGAGGGUCAGUAUUAACAAAAAAAUCGGUUUGGUUGCAAAUUGUGACGUUUCCGGUGUUUGGGCUAUCUUAACUUUUUUGGUUAAGGGGCUUAAAAUUGACCUUUUUUGCGCAUUUUUAGACGUACAUAAAUUUUUUUUUUUUUUGUUUAUGUUUCAUGCCAAAAUCUUAAUAGAUU